rnacentral:lncRNA from 1 species
CAGGCUUCCAUGUCUCGUUGCGUUAUUUUUCUUUUCUCAUAAUUUAAAUUUGCUUGCGGUUGAGAUAAUGCAGAUUCCUAGACCCAAUAUAUUUGUAGGGACUACUCAAAGGUCAUCUGCUUAAGUGAAACUUAUGAGUUAUUCCUUGUGGUUAUGCAUUGAAAUCUGAUCACUAUGAGUUAUAGUUGUCAAGAAGCUUGGCACCUAUUUGGAUGCAUCAAAUUUUGGUGACCAUAUAGAAUUUACAAGUUCUUGGGCUAGAUUAUUGUGUUCACUCUAAUCUAAGUAUGCAUUACUCUCAACCUUGUCAUGGUUAAAACAUUUGUUUUGGAGCUUAGAAUCUUCUUAUUAGCUUUUUUAAAAUGCAGUAUCUUUUGGAUUCAUUAUGUUAGCUCUUAC